rnacentral:rRNA from 1 species
GAGUUUGAUCCUGGCUCAAGAUGAACGCUGGCGGCGUGCUUAACACAUGCAAGUCGAACGGACUCAUAUUGAAACCUAGUGAUUUAUGAGUUAGUGGCGGACGGGUGAGUAACGCGUGGAUAACCUGCCGUAUACCGGGGGAUAACACUUAGAAAUAGGUGCUAAUACCGCAUAAGCGCACGGCUCCGCAUGGGGCAGUGUGAAAAACUCCGGUGGUAUACGAUGGAUCCGCGUCUGAUUAGCUAGUUGGCGGGGUAACGGCCCACCAAGGCAGCGAUCAGUAGCCGGCCUGAGAGGGUGGACGGCCACAUUGGGACUGAGACACGGCCCAAACUCCUACGGGAGGCAGCAGUGGGGAAUAUUGCACAAUGGGGGAAACCCUGAUGCAGCGACGCCGCGUGAGAGAAGAAGUAUCUCGGUACGUAAAGCUCUAUCAGCAGGGAAGAAAAUGACGGUACCUGACUAAGAAGCCCCGGCUAACUACGUGCCAGCAGCCGCGGUAAUACGUAAGGGGCAAGCGUUAUCCGGAUUUACUGGGUGUAAAGGGAGCGUANACGGCAGCACAAGUCUGGAGUGGAAUCCCGGGGCUUACCCCGGAACUGCUUUGGAACUGUGCG